rnacentral:lncRNA from 1 species
UGUUUACAUUUGAGUGUACAUGUUCUAAUUGGGUUUAAUGUUUAGUUAUCAGAGUUUAGAGUGUUAUGAUAAGAGUUUAGGGUUUAGUAUUUUCGGGUUGGGGGUGGUGUGAAAUUUUGGUUUAUUUUUUAGGGGUUGGGAUGGGGUUGGUGUUUUAAACAAUUUUUGUAAUAUGGAAUAUAAUAUGUCAGCUAUUCUUUAUAGAAUGACUUUAUUCAUUUUUAUACUUUACAGAUGGAUUGGAAUACUGUUCUUUCAGUUUAGUUUAUAUUAGUUUCUGGUUCAGGCUGGAUAAACAGUACAUACUUUGAUGUCAGCAUAGAAAUUCAAAAAUGUUACCAUUAAAAUUAUUUACUGUCAAAAAUGUAAACAUUGAAAACAUUUUUGUUCUUGUUAAUUUUUUGUUGUGUUUCGAUAUGUGGUUCUCAUCACGACACACAACGCAUGACAUCACGUACUAUCAUUUGUAAUUGGUUACUUGUUAAGGUACGUGGCAAAACUGAAUAGUUUGUGUACGAAAUGUCUUUAAACUAAAUUAUGUCAAAAUCAAAGUUACUUACUUAAUUUAGGCUCGAUUUAUGGCUAGUACUCAAAUUAACCCCAUAUUUAUCUCAUAUGAUCAGAAGAAGAAGAAAAAGGCCAAA